rnacentral:rRNA from 2 species
ACCCGAAAGAUCGAAUGGGGAGAUUCAUCGUCAGCGGCGUUGGCUUCCGUGCGAUGCGCGAUGUCACCGGUCACCCUCAAGAGGUUUAUCGUGGGCACGCGUUCGCCGCGGUAUGUCCAGCGACGUCGGCGUGCACUUCUCCCCUAGUAGAACGUCGCGACCCGCUGGGUGUAGGUCUACGGACCGUCGCGUAAGACUGUCGACAAUCCGGCUGAAAGGCUAACGUUGGCAGACGCGUGCGGAUACUCCCGACCUACUGCCCGGCGGUACUCGCACGGUAUCGAGCCGCAUAGUCGAACUGCGUUCAGGCCCGCCGCAAGCUCGUUCACCGCGUCCCGGAGGUUCGGACCCGGUCCGUCCCCGGGCCUGGACAGCUGCUGGCCGGCGGUGUUCUCGAACAGGCUCAAUCGAAAUAUGAUACCGGUCGGCGACGCUAUUGCUUUGGGUACUUUCAGGACCCGUCUUGAAACACGGACCAAGGAGUCUAACAUGCGCGCGAGUCAUUGGGACGUUGAAGCCUAAAGGCGCAUUGAAAGAGAAGGUCGGCCUCGCGUCGACCGAGGGAGGAUGGGUCGCCUCAUGAUGCGACUCCGCACUCCCGGGGCGUCUCGUACUCAUCGCGAGUUGAGGCGCACCCAGAGCGCACACGUUGGGACCCGAAAGAUGGUGAACUAUGCCUGGUCAGGACGAAGUCAGGGGAAACCCUGAUGGAGGUCCGUAGCGAUUCUGACGUGCAAAUCGAUCGUCGGAACUGGGUAUAGGGGCGAAAGACUAAUCGAACCAUCUAGUAGCUGGU